rnacentral:rRNA from 1 species
UACGUAGGGUGCGAGCGUUAUUCGGAAUUACUGGGCGUAAAGCGUGCGCAGGCGGUUUUGUAAGUCAGGUGUGAAAUCCCCGGGCUUAACCUGGGAAUGGCAUUUGGGACUGCAAGGCUGGAGGGCGGCAGAGGAGACUGGAAUUCCUGGUGUAGCAGUGAAAUGCGUAGAUAUCAGGAGGAAUACCGAUGGCGAAGGCAGGUCUCUGGGCUGACACUGACGCUCAUGCACGAAAGCGUGGGGAGCAAACAGG